GUAAUGGAUUUUUUAAAAUCCAUCAAUAAUUAAAUAUAUUUUAAAU
rfam:Vigna radiata var. radiata cultivar VC1973A chromosome 5, whole genome shotgun sequence